UGCCUACGGGGGGCAGCAGUGGGGGAUAUUGCACAAUGGGGGAAACCCUGAUGCAGCGACGCCGCGUGAGUGAAGAAGUAUCUCGGUAUGUAAAGCUCUAUCAGCAGGGGAGAAAGAAAUGACGGUACCUGACUAAGAAGCCCCGGCUAACUACGUGCCAGCAGCCGCGGUAAUACGUAGGGGGCAAGCGUUAUCCGGAUUUACUGGGUGUAAAGGGAGCGUAGACGGCUGAGCAAGUCUGAAGUGAAAGGCGGGGGCCCAACCCCCGGACUGCUUUGGAAACUGUAUAGCUAGAGGGCAGGAGG
rnacentral:rRNA from 1 species